rnacentral:lncRNA from 1 species
GAAGGAAGCUCUGGAGAGUAGCGAAUCUGAUGUUUUUGUGAAGCUGAACCCUGACAAGGUUUGUUUAUAUUUUGUUUAGUUUGCUCACUUAGCUGCAGUUUAUUAUGUCUUCUUUUUCAAUGUGUUUAUAAGGGGUUUUAUUGUUUAUUCUGCCAUUGAUUAACUGAACCCUGACAAGGUUUGUUUAUAUUUUGUUUAGUUUGCUCACUUAGCUGCAGUUUAUUAUGUCUUCUUUUUCAAUGUGUUUAUAAGGGGUUUUAUUGUUUAUUCUGCCAUUGAUUAGUGUAGACCGUUACAUUAUGUGUAAAUGUAUCUGAAUGAAAAGAUUAGUCAAUAAUGUAAGGUUUGCUUAAGAUCUUCAUCAACAAUUUUCACAAGUUAUGUUGAAUAGUUGUAAGUAAGUCAACGACUCAUUGUCAUAGGUUACACAAGUGUACUCUAUAUGUUACUGCAUAUGCUAAAAUAAUUUCUUUCAGUCGUUUUCUACUACCACUUGUCAAUGGUAAUUAUUGUUAGUCAUGGUCAUUUAGUGACUUCAUAAUUAUUGAAUUCAUAUGAUGUUAUCUAUGUUUUUAUUUACUGUUCUAUUCUAUUGGUUUCAUUUGUUCAAGAUGAAUCUUUGAAGACAAAGCAUUGAAUCAUUCAAAGUAAAGCUCAUUAAUUAAUUAUAGUUAGACUAUUAGUGGAUAUUACUUUGAAUUUGUCAUAGUUGUAGUAAUUUGUAUAUUGUAAGUUUUAAUUAAUUAAUUAUAGUUAGACUAUUAGUGGAUAUUACUUUGAAUUUGUCAUAGUUGUAGUAAUUUGUAUAUUGUAAGUUUUGAAUAUGUCAUAGUUGUACUAUAUAUUGUAUCAUCUUUAAAAUGUCGAUCUGAGUUUUGGCCUAUUAUUAAUUUUAAUAUGAUAAGAAUAAUUUUAGUUUCU